GAUGAACGCUAGCGGGAGGCUUAACACAUGCAAGCCGAGGGGUAUUUUGUUUUCGGACAAGAGAGACCGGCGGACGGGUGAGUAACGCGUAUGUAACUUACCCUAUUCAGAGGAAUAGCCCGAGGAAACUCGGAUUAAUACCUUAUAACACUUAGAGUGGCAUCAUUUUAAGUUAAAAGAUUUAUCGGAAUAGGAUAGACAUGCGUCUGAUUAGUUAGUUGGUGAGGUAACGGCUCACCAAGACUUCGAUCAGUAGGGGCCUGAGAGGGUGAUCCCCCACACUGGUACUGAGACACGGACCAG
rnacentral:rRNA from 1 species